rnacentral:rRNA from 1 species
GACGAACGCUGGCGGCGUGCUUAACACAUGCAAGUCGAACGAUGAAGAAGAGAAACGCGAACUUCGGUUCAAAUUUCACUUCGGAUUAGUGGCAGACGGGUGAGUAACGCGUGAGCAACCUACCUCUUACAAAGGGAUAGCCUCGGGAAACCGUGUUUAAUACCAUAUGACACAUUCAUAAGGCAUCUUAAGAUUGUUAAAGCUACGGCGGUAAGAGAUGGGCUCGCGUCCCAUUAGCUAGUUGGUGAGGUAACGGCACACCAAGGCGACGAUAGGUAACCGGCCUGAGAGGGUGAACGGUCACAAUAGAACUGAGACACGGACCAGACUCCUACGGGAGGCAGCAGUGGGGAAUAUUACACAAUGAAGGAAACUCUGAUGCAGCGACGCCGCGUGAGCGAUGAAGGAAUUCGUUGCGUAAAGCUCUGUUCUAUGGGAAGAAAAGGACUGUACCAUAGGAAAAAGCCCCGGCUAAAUACGUG